rnacentral:sRNA from 2 species
UUUUUGCGUGAGUGAUAGUAACGGUAUCCUUUUUUUGCUUGGAUAAGUGGCAAAAAAAGAUUUAGUGAAUAGCACGGCCGGAU